rnacentral:lncRNA from 1 species
AUGUUUGGAAAAAUAUGUAGGUCAGUGGAACAUUUCCUGCACUGGUGCAAAAGGAGAGGAGGGCAGCGGGGGAGGGGAGGGAGAGGCCGCGCGGAGCUCCGAGGGCGCGCUCCCGGCCGCAGCCCCCACCCGCGCGCUGCUGCCCGGGGGGCGGGGGGCGGGGGGCGCUCAGCCGCAGCCUCUCCAUCCUUGACCCAUUUUCCCGGCCGGCUACGUUCUCCUCGGAAGCAGCGCGGAUUAUUCCUCCCCAGCAGCGCUCUCCCGCUUCUCCCCAACCCCAGGGGCCCGGCCGCCCCCGCUCCUCGGGCAUCUCGGGGGUCGCAGCGCGGAGACGCGCCUGUGCCGGGGCUCGGAGUCCGCGCGCAGACCUGCCCCGCCGGGACGGCGUGGAGGGGACCGCCGUCGUGUGCUCCCCCCUCCCCGCACGGGGCCGCGGGGUGGCAGCGGGCCCCGCGAGGGUCUGUCCCGGCCGCCCCCGGCGACAACUUGAACGGGACUUCGGCCGGCGGCCCCGCGCCCGCCCGCGGCCGCUCCCGGCCAGUUCACCUCCAAGCACGCACACCCGCCGCCCGCGCCCGCCGCCCGCCGCCCGCCGCCCGCGCCAGCCCGACCCCGCGCCCCCGGCCGGGCCCCGACCCCGCGCCCCCCGCGGCCCGGCAGAGGCGCCGGCCGCCGCGCCGCCCAGGGGAGCCGGGGGUCCGGGGGCCGCAGCGUGCGAGUCCCAGGCCGGGGCGGGCCGAGGCCCCGCGUGCGCCCGGGAGAGACCCGGCAGCAGGAGCGGAGGGAAGGAGGAGGAGGCGAGGGAGGAGGAGGCGGCGGCGGGAGGCGGGAGGCGGGAGGAGGGCGGGGGAGGAGGAAGAGGCGGCGGCGGCUCUCCCCACCGGCUCUGCGUGCGGAAGAGUUUGCCGCGCGAGCAGCCGGCCUCCCGCAGGAGCCGAGGGACCCGCGCGCCGGCGGCCGGGCAGCAGCGGCCGCGCAGCUCCGAGACCCGCGGCCGCGGUGGCGGCGGCGGCGGCGGCGGCGGCAGCGAGAGCAGCGCCUCCCGCCGCCGCCCGGGAGGAGCUCGCCGCGCCCGCUCGCCGCCUCGGCUCCCAGCGGCGGCGGCGGCGGCGGCGGCGGCGGCGGGAGGCGCGUCUCCCCGGCCCAGUCCGCGCCCGGCCCCGCGGGGUCGCCCCGGCCAGCUCCGAGAUUUAG